rnacentral:rRNA from 1 species
GUGAACAAGAUACAGGCUAGCGGCGGACGGGUGAGUAACACGUGGGAACGUACCUUUUGGUUCGGAACAACUGAGGGAAACUUCAGCUAAUACCGGAUAAGCCCUAACGGGGAAAGAUUUAUCGCCGAAAGAUCGGCCCGCGUCUGAUUAGCUAGUUGGUAGGGUAAUGGCCCACCAAGGCGACGAUCAGUAGCUGGUCUGAGAGGAUGAUCAGCCACAUUGGGACUGAGACACGGCCCAAACUCCUACGGGAGGCAGCAGCC